rnacentral:lncRNA from 1 species
GAUAUAUGUUCUGUCUAUAAAGAAAUAACAUCAAAAAUGUGGUGCAUACUGAAUAAUGUAUCACAGUUUUUUUUAAGGUAUUUCGGAUAGGCAGAAAAAAUGUGACAGUUAUUUCUUAUAAUUUAAUUUCUAAUUCCAUUUUAACCGGAGUAAAUCAUGAAACGUUAAUGACGUCACGAUCACAUGAUAAAAAUAUGUCCAUGGACUGAUAAACAAAACAACGUCAGCCAAUCAAAAAUCGCGUUAUUUCCAAAAUUAAAUUAUUAUAAAAUAUUUCUAAAAAAUGUAUAUCUUAAUUUUGUUUUAUUUAACAUUUUCAUGUGGCCAAAUAUUUUAUUCCAUGAUCAAAUCUGAAAUGUACAAUAAACGAAAACC